GAAUGAUUGUGAGAUGCAGAAUGUUAGUGGGACAGGGUCCAGAGAAAAUGGGCUUCACCAGUGCAAGGAAGAAAGGUCGGGAAGUUGUGAAUGUGAACUUGAAAGCCACGAGGCCACGCUUGUCAGAACUGUGCUGAAGUAAGAGCUAAUUCGGAGUGUCUUUUCUCUGUGGUGAAGUCGUGGGCUUUGUUCCAGUCCCCUCAAGUCCUCUUUGCUUGAUUUUGGUUUCUUGAUGGAAUCCCAGAGGGCCGAGAUUGCUGCAAUCCCAUGACGAUGCCUAGAAUCACAGAUGUUUGGUCUGGCUUUCUGUUUCACCUCUCCUAUAUGGCAGCUCAUUGUUGGACCUCCUUUUCUUCUUCCUGUCUGCAUAGGAAAAGAAUGUCCCCCUCGCUAUAAAUGAAACAGAGAAGACCAAGAUGAAGAGGAAGAUGAGCGCAGUGCAGCAUGCCGAGGCACCGGGGACUCAGCAGGGACUCAGGAGAAGAGAGACCCUGUGGAAACAGGACGAGCUGUCCUAUGAGAGGUCUCCGGAGGUCGUGAAUGUUCCAGGGCUAUAAAUACAACGAGAAUGUGUGAAGUCUGUGACUUCAGGAAUUCCAAUAAAAUGAAGAGAGGAAAAUUGCACAGUGUUUACACUCUUAUGACUCCCAAUGCAAGAUGGGCCAAGAGCAAAGUUGGAGACCAACGAAGCAGGGAGAAUGACUAAGGCCAGCCUCCCCGCCUGCUCCCUGGCAGUGGGGCUCCUGAGGCGCCUCCCUCCACUCACCACUUGACUGCAAGAAACAAAACAACGCAUGAAAUGUACAAGUCACCAGGCAGCCAUGAGGAGCGGGGCCACUUCUUGGCUCGCUGGUGGCCCCUGGCAGGAAGCUCUGGAACUAACAGGGGACAGAUUUUUGUCCCAAAGGAGGGAGGUUGUCAGGGAGUAAUUGGAGGACUUAGGCACCUGCUGGAGUGAGAUUUGGGUCCUGCAGGUCUGUGGCACCCUGAGGCCCCUCUGGAUGGGUCACUAGGUGUAUGUUGAUGUCCUGCUGGUUCUUCCUGUCCGUGCCACUGCCUGAAAGGAGAACACUGCAGCUGGCAGGUGGAUGCCCACCCCCUGUGCCCUGCUUGGCUGGCAGGGACUGGAGCUGCCAGACCAUGCAUCCCCCAGGGGGUGGGCCACCUGUCCAAGAUGGGAGAGGAGAGGUAGAGAACAUGGCCAUUUGUAACAUAGGCGGGGAUAGGAUACUGAAAUGUUCAAAUGGUAUAUCAAAAUAUAAGAAAUCUGAAAUCCCGCCACCAAGGAUAAUUUUCAAUUGUG
rnacentral:lncRNA from 10 species